GAGAUGGAUGGAAAGCCAGUAAGUGCUAAGAAUCCAACAUCCUUUCUCUUGUCAAAGAAUGCAUUCUUCAUCCUAGCGAGAUAGUGCAGUGGUGUCCCUCUUUAGGCCAGACUGACCGUAUGAGUCAACCAAUCAGAUUGUUACUUGCGUCUCGUUUAUUUUUUCACGGUUUUCUUUUCACUGCAGGAUUCAAGCACACCACUUGACCCCAAACUCUAUUCUUCAUAUUGCCAUCUUCGUCCACUUGUGCGUAGCUUUUUUGGGCAUCGAGCACCAUUUCAAUUUGUUCCAGCAUUUGUUUCAUCUCAAGCCCCAACCCAGUGCCAAUGAAAUCACCGAAUUUGUUUAUCGAGUUUCUCUAUUUUUCCUCUCUUUUUUGUCUCAGCCCAAAACAAACAAAGCAAAGGGUUGAGGCUAACAGGGAUGAUGAUGGGGCAGGUACUGAUGUACCCUCUGCCCCAGUGGUCCUGUCAAGUGGUACCGAAGCCACCCAACCGCAACCGAGCACACCAUCGAGUGGUCAAGUUAUGACACCGCAACCGCAGUCUGAGCUGGUGAGUGGUGUUGAUGAAGCCUCCACACAGCACAAAAUGCCUGGAGGAGGCAAGGGAGAUGAAAGCGCCAAGCAAGGGCAAUCAGCACCCUCUGCUGGCGGAAAGGCAACAUCGAGUGCCUUGGUAGCCUUAUUGGUACCAAGAUUGCUCAAAACAAGGAAAAUAACAGUGAGGAAGUCCAACUGCAAAGCAGCCGAUUUUGGGUUGGGGGAGCCGAGCAAGGCCACCGCUGCCCCAUCCCCCAAUCCUGUACCAGCACAUCAGGCGCCAAUAUCGCAGGACCAGGUUGAAACUAAUCGUAGUCGACUUGAUGAUUCUGCGACCAUGGUGGAGGGGCCUCACCAAGGAGAAGCAAUGGCAGCACCUGAAGGGGGUGAUGCUUUGUUAAUGGUUAAAGGACCAAAAAUCCCAACAUGUAAGCCCAUUUUGCCGCCUCCUUUGGAUUGCAGCCAUAUCCCACUUACUCGACUUGUGCACCUAGAUGGGAUAUCAGGCGUAUGAGGAAUAUGAGGAAUGCCAUAAAUUCCUAGCUGAACUGGCCAACCAAGCAGCAACAAAAACCCAGGAACUAAAAGCAGUUGAAGAGGGACUCCUGCUAGUGGUCGACAAGGAGCUCCAACUUGAUCUGGAGAUGCAAGAAGUCAUUGCUCUCUGCAGUGAACUUGAAAAGAUUAAGCUUGAGCACGACCGAGAGAACCAGCUCUUGAAAGAGGAAGUAUCGAAACUUGCAAAGGACAAGAAGACUCUCGAAGAGAGAAACAAGUCGUUGUAGGAGAAAAACAAAUCGAUUGCAAAGAAUCACAAAGAUGAAUUGGAGAAUUUUGACAAGAUGCUGAGAGAUGCUGACAAACAGCUCAUCGAGUCCAUGCAACAAAUCAAGACCAUGGCCGAGGCUCGAGGAGAAGGAUCUUCGGGACAAGGAACUUGACAAGCCGAAGGCUGUUGCACAGGCUAUUGUCGACAUGGUGGAUCCACCCGAGAAUGGCGUGGGGCAGGCCAAGACUCUGUUGGAGCGGCUGCAAGGAACUCCACAGAAGAUCGUUAGUAUUUCUCGGACACCACCCGGCAAUAUGUGUCACAUGUACUAGGACUGGUAAAGACCUAUUGGCUGCAUGCGAUCUUGACUCCGCUAGGAGAAGACAUGGCAUUGAAUGCACUGAAGAGAAAUUUGACGAGCUCCUAGAGGAGGUGAAACCUGUGGCCAAUAGGAUAGUUGACAGCCUGAAGCAGGAUGCCGAAGCAUGAAUAGUUUGGUCGGACCAACUGUGAACUAGUAAACAAUGAUCUUAUUGUACCAUGUUUGUGUAUACAUGAAUACAGUUUUUAUGAUUGUAGUAAACUCCUGUCGAUGUGUGCAAA